UAGGGAAUCUUCCACAAUGGACGCAAGUCUGAUGGAGCAACGCCGCGUGAGUGAAGAAGGCUUUCGGGUCGUAAAACUCUGUUAUUGAAGAAGAACGUGUGUGACAGUAACUGGUCAUGCAGUGACGGUAUUCAAUCAGAAAGUCACGGCUAACUACGUGCCAGCAGCCGCGGUAAUACGUAGGUGGCAAGCGUUGUCCGGAUUUAUUGGGCGUAAAGCGAGUGCAGGCGGUCUUUUAAGUCUGAUGUGAAAGCCUUCGGCUUAACCGAAGAAGGGCAUCGGAAACUGGGAGACUUGAGUGCAGAAGGAGAGAGUGGAACUCCA
rnacentral:rRNA from 1 species